CAGAGAAAGAGAGGAACCCAGCGUUCACUGAACUUGCGGAGUUGCAAAGACAAUGGCAGUGGCGACACUGCUUAGAAAGAAGAAUCUAUUCCAGACACAAUGAGUGCUCGAAAGGCCCAGACUCAGGAUGGGUUUGUUCAUUCCUGGCUUUAGAGAGAAGUGUGGCAGAGCUACCACGGACAUUUUGCUCCAGAAGCAGAGUGGGAAGUUCUGUCCCGCAGAAGCAGAUGGCUGUUUCCAGUGAUAGGCAGGAGUCGUGUGAACUGCUUCUACCAUCCACAUGCAAGCCUCUGGACUUCUCUAGGAUGACUUGGCUGUGCUUGCCCUUGUCACAGCGAAUAAUAGGUAUCUGGUUUUCAACAGCAUGAAUGAGCAUGCGGGACAUUGUGCUUAGUGAUGUAACUGGUCACAGAAAGACAUCCACUGAGUGAUCUUGCUUGUGUGUGAAAUCUAAAAACAUCAAAUUCGUAAAGGUGGACAGCUUAGAAAUGGAAAAUGUUGGUCAGUUAGACAGGACAUAUUAUUAGACAUUCUGGAGAUCUGGUGCACAGUGUGGCUACAGUUAAUAAUUGUGUAUUUAUACUUAAAUUUUUCUCAAAAGUAGAUUUUAAAUAUACUCAUUGUAAAAAAAACCAUGAGAAGUUAUGUGAGGCAAUAGAGUAAUUAGCUUAACUAGAUCAUUUCACAAUGUCCUAUAAGCACACCACAGAGAUAUUAUGGGUUCAAUUCCAGGCCAGCCCAGUAAAAUGAAUUUCACAACACAGUGAGUCACACACAGUUGUUCUCUUCUCCAAUGCAUAUGAAAGUUGUGGUUG